rfam:Bombyx mori DNA, contig: Bm_scaf3_contig2832, strain: p50T/Dazao, build 2, whole genome shotgun sequence.
UUAACUCAAAUUUGUAUGGAGUUGGAGCGUUUGCCUACGUUUGGCGCUGGGACGCUGUUCCAAAUGCUUACAAAUUUGAGUUA